rnacentral:rRNA from 1 species
GACGAACGCUGGCGGCGUGCCUAAUACAUGCAAGUCGAGCGAAGUUUUUCUGGUGCUUGCACUAGAAAAACUUAGCGGCGAACGGGUGAGUAACACGUAAAGAACCUGCCUCAUAGACUGGGACAACUAUUGGAAACGAUAGCUAAUACCGGAUAACAGUAUUUCUCGCAUGAGAGAUAUUUAAAAGUUGGUUAUGCUAACACUAUGAGAUGGCUUUGCGGUGCAUUAGCUAGUUGGUGGGGUAAAGGCCCACCAAGGCGACGAUGCAUAGCCGACCUGAGAGGGUGAUCGGCCACACUGGAACUGAGACACGGCCCAGACUCCUACGGGAGGCAGCAGUAGGGAAUCUUCCGCAAUGGGCGAAAGCCUGACGGAGCAACGCCGCGCGAGUGAAGAAGGAUUUCGGUUCGUAAAGCUCUGUUGUUAGGGAAGAAUGGAUAUGUAGUAACUAUACAUGUAAGAGACGGUACCUAACCAGAAAGCCACGGCUAACUACGUG